rnacentral:lncRNA from 1 species
GCCACUAGUGGAGGCUCUCUGAAGCGCUAAAUUUGUACUUCUUUACGAUUCUAAAAUUCAUGCAGGAUUCGUCCAGCUUAGGCUGCCCUUUUCAGGUUUCUGGAUUCUGGGAAGCUCAAUUACAAGCCCGAGGCUGGCAUGAAGUAGUGAACAAUUAACAAGGCUGUCAGCCUCAGCCUGGGGUCUCUCAAUCCAGCAUUUACCCAGAACCCAGCAGAGACAGGGCUGCGGACAGAUCAACCUGGCUAUGACCCAAUGAGAAUUCUGCUUCAUGGAAAGAGAGAGAAUGUGCUCUCCCAAAGCCUGAUCUUAAGGAGGAACUGACAUCGGUCUCCGGAAAACCAGGAGAAUAAGGCCAACACUACUCAGCUUCUGCUUGUAAGUAACUAAUCUAAUUAAAGAUGGAAGAAGAUGGAGGGUAGCAAUUUGAGCCAGGAAGGCUGUCCAGACCAUAAGCAGUAGCCACCAUAGAAUGGAUGGAGUGCAGACACAAGGGUCAGAGGACCUGGGCCACUGCUUCUCCUGAAUCUGUCUACUAUGGCCUGAAGGUCCAUAUAUCUUUUUUCUUCCCAAAUGAGCUGGCCAUCUACCGACAGGCCUCCGCUGCUCAGAAAACUUGGGGACAGCCUGUGACGCAAAGAGGAGCGCAGGAACGGAGGCUGGCAGAGGAGCCCAGCUCCCAAAGAUUCUCCUGAUCAGUAGUGGUGGCUCAAGGCGCCUGACACAUGGAUGCGCUCUGAUUUCUGAGUUUCCUCAAAAUACUCACUCUGUAACAAAUUGUAAAUUACUGUACUCAAUUUUGUCUAAUAGAUUCUGCAUUGAUCUAUGUGAUGAAAAUAUGUUGAUUAUAAAAGUAAAUGCAUUAUCAAAAUCUAAGGAAUAUUAUCCCACAAUGACGAGUGUAUUUAAUAUUCAUCUCUUCUUCAUUCUCUAAUUGGAUUCUGUUCAAGGCCAUAAGCAUGUUUCUAUGUGUUACUCCUCUUAAAACAGUAAAUAAGUAAUUUGGACAGCAAUAAUGCAGAGAUAACCUCAGAACAGCAUGUAGCCCAAAUCCGUUUAGCCCAUGUUUGUUGGAUAGUGAAAGAAUGAAGAAAUAAACAAAUGGACAGAUGAAAGAUGAAAAGCUUAGCUUUUAAGAUUGGUGCUAAAAACAUUCUAAAGGAGAACCUGGCCCACUUCUUCCCAAUGUGUUAACUUGGAUGACUUUCCACACCCUAAGGUGUCACUAAAUAACAGUCAGAACUGUUGUCAACGUGAAAGGAAACACCUCAUUCCAGCUUUUUCUAAAAGGUGAACUGGUGUGACCUGGCUGCGUUUUCUCGCCCUGUGCACUUGACUCUUUCCCUGGGAAGCAGGCUCUGGUAAAAAGAUGUGACUCAUCCUGGGCGGCCACAGGCACCACGACACUGUACAGACACAUUUCUCUAGGCAACCAACUCAACAAAGAACCCAGAGGGAGAUUUCCAUGGACAGGUUGAUUGGAAAAUCAGAAAUUCUCCAAAAUCUGAAACUCUUUGAGCCACAAGCAGAUACUGCACUAGCCCUCGUGUGACAGAUCACUAGACUAGGGCAGGCAUACAAACAACAAAGACGAAAGCACUUUCAGCCUGUGUCUUUGAGAUACAAAUGAGACACAGUGAAUCUUCUGUUUGUAUUUAGAUCCUGUCAAUCCCAACAUAGCUUUAUUAAUAUGUGUACAAAUAUCCCCAAAUCUGAAAACUCAAACCCACUGGUUCUAGGCACAGAAGGUAUCGCUUGAUGAUACUGGGUCUGGAAAGAUUUCUUUGUUGGCACAGUGCCUGCUAUGCAAGCAGAAGGACCUGAAUUUGGAUUCCCCAUAGCCACAGAAGAGCUGAGUGUGAUUCCCCAAGUCUGUAACUUAGUACUCAGGGGACAGAGACAGGUAAGCUUGCUGAUAAACCAGCCUAGCCUGGGACUCAGUAAGAGACCCUGUCUCAGAGAAUACAGAGGAGAGAAUGAUGCAAGACUAAGACUAAGACUAAGUGAUAGGACAUCCACCUACUAAGUGAUAGAACACCCACCUACUAAGUGAUAGAACACCCACCUACUAAGUGAUUGAUAGAACACCCACCUACUAAGUGAUUGAUAGAACACCCACCUACUAAGUGAUUGAUAGAACACCCACCUACUAAGUGAUUGAUAGAACACCCACCUACUAAGUGAUAGAACACCCACCUACUAAGUGAUAGAACACCCACCUACUAAGUGAUUGAUAGAACACCCACCUACUAAGUGAUUGAUAGAACACCCACCUACUAAGUGAUAGAACACCCACCUACUAAGUGAUAGAACACUCACCUACUAAGUGAUAGGACACCCACCUACUAAGUGAUAGGACACCCACCUACUAAGUGAUAGGACAUCCACCUACUAUGUGAUAGAAUAUACACCUACUAAGUGAUAGAACACCCACCUACUAAGUAAUAGAAUAUCACCUACUAAGUGAUAGAACAUCAACCUUCUAAGUGAUAGGACAUCCACCUACUAUGUGAUAGAACAUCCACCUACUAAGUGAUAGAACAUCCACCUACUAAGUGAUAGGACAUCCACCUAAGUGAUAGAACAUCCACCUACUAUGUGAUAGGACAUCUACCUACUAUGUUCAAGGUCCCAAGUUUAAGCCUGAACUGAAACGAAGGUGAUGGUGAACAUUACAUUUAAAGUUUAGAUUUGUUGUGCUUGAGAGACCAAAAAGCAAGAAAAAAAAAAAAAAAAGAUGUCUCUAACACGGUGGUUCUCUGACUGCAGGUCUCAGCCCACUAAGGGUCACAGGGGUCACCUAAGAUCAUCGGAAAACACAGAUUUACCUUACAAUUCGUAACAGUGGGGAAAUUACAAUCAUGAAUUAGCAAGAAAAAUGAUUUUAUGGCUGGGAGUCAGCACAACAGAGGGAGCUGUGGUAGGCUCUUGGCAUUAGGAAGGGUGAGAGGCACCCCUCUCACAUGGUGCCUCUCACAUGGAAGCCCCUCCGGUGUACGGGCUGCACCACCGCAGCCUAAUUUCAUUUUCUUUUACUGUUCUUUCAGACAUUGAAAACCAUUCUUAAAUUGACUGAUCUUGUAAAAGUGGUUGUUUUUGCAAUAAAAGGUCAUAAGAUGC